UUUCUCAUCAUUUUUGUCCUAAUUCCAAACUUUUUUUUUUCUUCUUCUUGUU
rnacentral:sRNA from 1 species